rnacentral:rRNA from 1 species
AGCGAACGCUGGCGGCAGGCUUAACACAUGCAAGUCGAACGCCCCGCAAGGGGAGUGGCAGACGGGUGAGUAACACGUGGGAACGUACCCUUUGGUUCGGAAUAACUUGGGGAAACUCAAGCCAAUACCGGAUAAGCCCUUAUGGGGAAAGGUUUACUGCCGAAGGAUCGGCCCCCGUCUGAUUAGCUAGUUGGUGAGGUAAUGGCUCACCAAGGCGACGAUCAGUAGCUGGUCUGAGAGGAUGAUCAGCCACACUGGGACUGAGACACGGCCCAGACUCCUACGGGAGGCAGCAGUGGGGAAUAUUGGACAAUGGGGGCAACCCUGAUCCAGCCAUGCCGCGUGAGUGAUGAAGGCCUUAGGGUUGUAAAGCUCUUUUACCCGGGACGAUAAUGACUGUACCGGGAGAAUAAGCCCCGGCUAACUUCGUGCCAGCCGCCGCCGUAA